GCCUGGAACCGCCCUUGGCCUAUAACAACAGCCUUUGACACUAGGGGAUGUCCCUGGAUAAUAAUUUCCAUUGAUGUCGGAUUAAAUUUUUCUCCGUUGCUGAGCACAAUGACAUCAUCUCCACGCCCAAUAUAUCUCCAUAGGCCUGGCUUCCGCGCGUGCGGAGUAAAAAGGUCACCGGUUCGAUAUUCUGUGAGAUCCGGGUACGUGUGGAAAACGCCGUGGACGUGCCUAUUCGACUGGCGAGGAAUAACUAACUCGAAGGUGCCAUCCCCUUGGGCCCGCAUGUCAACCGCGUAGAAGGGAUUCCAUUCAAAAUAUCCCCAAUCUUCACGCUCUUCCGCCUUUAGAGAUGCAACCAAACCACAUUCGCUCGACCCAAGAACAGUCUGCAGGUGGGUCAAUUUGCAAAGCCCAUCCCCAAUCUCGGGUGACAGCGGCGCUCCUCCGUACGCGAUGUAAUGAAACUUAGACAACGUUUUUUGUCCUACCUGGGAGGAAUAAAGGUCUUCUAAUGAUGAUGGCGGAAGACUCGCUGAAGUGCAUUUUGUCUCUGUCACGAUUGUGGCGAGUAAUUCGGCCGUCAUUGGCUUUUCCGGGCUUAAUACGAACGGGGUCGCGGCGGAAACUGAAGCGAUCACCGUAAGCAAACCCAUGAAGUGGAAAAAUGGACUCAUUGUAAACGCCAGUUUUCCGGGUUCGCAGACACUGUAAACACUGCCAACUCGCCCAGGGGGUGUAGGCAUAACUUGAACCCCCUUCUGUGCGGCGACGUAUCCAUGCGUAAGUAGAACGGGCUUGGGCAAACCUAGAACUAUGAAUGAUGGCGGCAACGCUGUCCUCCACUCCUUCGGACUGUUUCACCCCUUCAUACGGCAGGACUUCAGUAUUGCUGAAAACGUCCCAAAGGUCCGGGACAAUCCAUGCCUUGAUGCUGGAAUCUGCUGCGCACAGUUCGUUUACUUGCCUCUCGCGUUCCACGCUGUAGACGAACUUCGAACAUCCACUCUUUGCGAGAACGUGACGUGAUGCUUCCAGCGAAUUUCGGGGAGAGAGAAGCAAUGGCUGAAUAAUCAGUUACCCUCUAUUUGUUAGAGCUAUCUCUGUCAAUAUGCAUAGAAUUUGGGGAACAGCCCGCUUACAAUGUGUCCGACCUUGGUGCAAGCAAGAAUAAAAGCAGCGUAGCGUAUAUCGUUUGCUCCCAUAUAAGCCAAUGUCUCAUGACUUGAACGAGCUGCCACAUUAUCUUCAAUCCACCUUGCCAUGUAAUCUGUUGCGCCAGACAAGUCUUUCAUUGUUACGUUGCGCCAUCCCUGAGAGAUGUCUGGGGAUAGUGGGUGGAUGCAAAAUAGCUGGUUCGGAUUGUUCUCCUUAAGAUAAUCAACCUCAGCUGACAGAGUGCGUAUUUCAACGUUGGCGGAUCCCAUUUUGCAGUAUACUAGGCAA
rnacentral:sRNA from 2 species